CGUCCGCCUUCCGCGGCUGCAGUCCGGGUGCGGGACAGGGUGAGAAAGAUGUUGCUGUUUUGAAGAAUGUGUCUUCUAUCAUUUGCAUGGAAGGAAGGACUUGCAGGGAAGAGAGAGGAUGGUCACAUCACAGGUCUUGUCUGAGUCCCUCAGCCACCAAGCGUGGGUUCUUGGCUUCGAGCAGGAUAGAGUUCAAGAGAAGGGAAGUGCGACAGGCCCGGAUGGCUUCGCCAGCCCCGCGCCCCGCACCUGGACCCCACGCACGUGCACACACGCACCCAUUCCUCCCAGCGGGCGACCUUCUCGGCCAUCUCCACUGCCUCCUUGUGCUCUCUCUCUGCCUCCUCCAGGGCCUCCCUGGCCAGCCGUUCCUCAGCAGCCUUCCGCUCCUCUUCCGCCUUUUCUUCGUCCGUUAAACCAUAAUUGCGAGGCUCCCCGACCUCCUUGAUGAGCUGUUUGAUGGCAACCUGAUUGAAUCAGAAAAACUCCAAACUCCAGAAUAUGUGACUGAUGUUAACAAGAAGACCAGAAGGAGAACGAGAAAAAAGAGGAUGGG